UGAAGCACUUCAGUGCUUAAGUUUCUAUUGGAUUAAAAUACAUCCAGAGCAGAAAUGUGGAAGGAAUUUCGCCUGAAACCCAAGAGAUUUGAAAAGCUCUUGCGGACAUGCAAGCUGUGCCAGGAGUCCUGAGUAUCACUCUAUGUCUUCCAAUGUCAUUUCCUGCUACUGGAGUCUUAAGAAAGCUUGACAUGAACACAGUGCUUUGAAGACUGAAAGAAGAAUCAUUCAUGGCUUAUUAUAUGAAGCUCGCAAGUGAUUCGUGCUUGUUUGGUCCUUGUUACUGCCCAGUCUAAUAAACACUA